GCUCUCCAGUUAGCUCUUUUCACCUUCAGCUCCCAUACUUUUCGCCUUUUUGGUUCACAGGGGAACUUGUGAAAUAUUUUGCCGCUUCCCUGUCUUUCAGUGCAGCCAAAUGUGCAACAGUUGGGCAUUUCUUUCGUGAUUUAUGCCAUUUUUUAAAUAAUUUAUUACAUUUUUCCACUGUUCCCUGCACUGUCAAUGGGAAUCAGAUGAAUGUUGGUAUCCAACAUGGAGUCCAUGAAACAUGUGACCACCUCGGAACCAAUCGCAUAACGGGAUAGCUCAGAACAUUCGAUUCCCUAGUUGGCCAAACUCUCUAUAUAAAUGGAGCUACUUCCACAUUGAUUAAGCA